ACUAUGGGGUAUGGGCUUUGCUAAUUGCUGAAUACCGUACAGUGACCUACAGUUGUUACUGUUUGUGUCAUAUUGGUCUCUUAUGGACAGUUGUCUCAUUGGCAACUAUACCACAUCUUCUUUUUAUAUUUAAAUGAGUUGCAGGAAAAAUAAUUGAUUCUGAUUAACUAAACGACCAUCUGUAAAUAUGAAAAUUUGUGUUUGAGAAGAUU
rnacentral:lncRNA from 1 species